rnacentral:lncRNA from 1 species
CUGAACGCGGGUCUGACCGUGAAUUGCUCAAAAGUCUUGACCGGUCGCAGCCCCACGCGGAAUGAAGGGCGGGAUGCGCGUGUCUAUUCACACGUGCAUAUAAUUGUUGCGACACCGGGAUUUCUGCUGUCUCCUGGAGGACUCACGCGAGUACCAAAGGAACACGCCGUUCCAUGUCCAGUUCUAUUCGACCUUUUGUGUCCCCCGGGCAUUCUGUACAGGGCGGAAGUGACCGACUAGACAUCCACCGUUGUUGCAGUAUGCUUCUGUCUUUCUACUGUAUGUAUUGACAUCUACGGCGAUGUGUUGGUUCGUGUUUUAAAAAAAGUUGGGUCAGGAGUCAGUGGCAUAUAAUGUCUCUCUUUUUGCGCGUCUUCCGGUCGUAAACGCCCGGAGACGCACGCCAUGCGUCCCCCCGAACGACAGAGGAAGUGGUUGUGUCUCUUACGGGUGCAUUUUUCCUUUUCUUGCUUGAGUCGUCGAUGGUGCAUGCGAUGGAAGUCUCGCUCUUUCUUAAACUGGUCAAAGUAUUCUCUGCCAUACGAAACAGCACGAGCAAGAAAGAAGCUUGGGAGCAGAGCGUGACUGAGAAAGAAAUGGAGUGGGAGAGGGCAAGAAGCUCCAGCAAUCGACGCUUUGCUGUCAAGCGCUCUACAGAACUCGAGCAGCUGGAGUGAAUCUUUCGUCUCGGAUGUUUGAGAGGAACGUUCUGGAGAACGAAGAGAAAUCCUGUGUUCGGAAGGUGCUGCUAUGGAGGGCGGCAGAUGAAUGGGCAGAAACUAAAAAAUUCUCCCUCCACAGCAAAUGACAACGCGAAGUCCAGUGCUCGGCAGGACUCAGAAAAUUCCUUACAAGGCCUUCGAUGCAAUCUCUCGCUGUCGGCGGAUUUCGUGCUCCAGAAGAACCACCUGCUCUUUCAAAUCUUGAUUUACCAGAAAGGCUCAAAGCACUUGUCCGCGUCUUGCCGAAGUUCAUAUCACUCUUCCAGCUGCUCAUAGUCGUCCAGCUCAUUGACAUCCUCGGAAGUCCGCUCCAUAGGUC